rnacentral:rRNA from 1 species
UACAGAGACUGCGAACGUUGUUCGGAUUCACUGGGCGUAAAGGGUGCGCAGGCGGCCGCAUGUGUGGGGUGUGAAAGACCGGGGCUCAACCCCGGAAUGGCGCCCCAAACUAUGCGGAUAGAGUCUGGGAGAGGGUGGCGGAAUUCAUGGUGGAGCAGUGAAAUGCGUAGAUAUCAUGAGGAACACCAAUGGCGAAGGCAGCCACCUGGACCAGUACUGACGCUCAGGCACGAAAGCGUGGGGAGCAAAAGGG